rnacentral:rRNA from 1 species
GACGAACGCUGGCGGCGUGCUUAACACAUGCAAGUCGAACGGUGAACGAGGGAGCUUGCUCCCUCCGGAUCAGUGGCGAACGGGUGAGUAACACGUGAGCAAUCUGCCCCGAACUCUGGGAUAAGCGUUGGAAAUGACGUCUAAUACCGGAUACGACGCGGGAGGGCAUCCUCUCCGCGUGGAAAGAACUUCGGUUCGGGAUGAGCUCGCGGCCUAUCAGCUUGUUGGUGAGGUAACGGCUCACCAAGGCGACGACGGGUAGCCGGCCUGAGAGGGUGACCGGCCACACUGGGACUGAGACACGGCCCAGACUCCUACGGGAGGCAGCAGUUGGGAAUAUUGCACAAUGGGCGCAAGCCUGAUGCAGCAACGCCGCGUGAGGGACGACGGCCUUCGGGUUGUAAACCUCUUUUAGCAGGGAAGAAGCGAAAGUGACGGUACCUGCAGAAAAAGCACCGGCUAACUACGUG